UGCGGUUUAGUGUAACAGUAACAUAUUUGACUCAUGAUCAAAAGAUAAAGGUGCGAGUCCUUUCUCCGCGUGCAA
rnacentral:tRNA from 1 species